GGGCACAAUGCACGGCGAUCGCGUGAUGCUCACGUCAAGUCAGGUCUUGGAGCCGUGUCCCCGAGUCUCCAAAGCGACGGGUCACAAUAAAUGCCCCGGAGCCCCCAUUUUUCUGUUCCUAGAUUUCAGUCGGCUGCCGAAUGAGUCCUGGCAAAGGAUCCUAGCGUCCUGAACUCUGCUAGCAAAAACAUACAAACAACUGGAGACUGACGGGAACUUGUUUCCCAACAUCCAUUCCAGCUAUGUCCGGACCAGCGGGAGAUACUAAUUGGAAUUCCUAUGAAACGACAAUGAUGCAUGAAUACACCCCUAAACGAGGAGAAAUUCCUGAUAUAGUUCGUCAUACUGAUUUCAAGGGGUUAGGAUAUUCAUACAAGCUCAAUGAUCCUAUCCACGCUAGAACAUUAUACACUGAACAGUUUAAUUGGAAGCCAUCCUCCAAAGACGACAUGAUAAGGACUGCAACUUCUUCUGGAACUAGAACCAAUAAACCCCAUCCUAGCAAGGAAUUUAUGACCUGGAAACUUUCUCAAGAGGGUCCAAAAACAGUUGCAGAGAGAACCGCUCCAUGUCAAAAGUUGACAACAGUAAAAAAGGCAGAGAGCUCUCUUCCAGAUCAAGAGGUGGAAACAGUAAGAAGUUCAGAGAGUUCUCCAUGGAGAAUUCCUGCUACACUCAAAGAAAUCCGUAAAGCAAUAGCUGAUCAGUAUACUUCUCGUUUCCGAGAAGACUACUUGGAUAAUUCAAAAUUAAAGAAACCAACCAUACAAGGGCCUCUUGAUUGGAAAACGUUACUUCCUCGGCGUCUAGAAACUGAGUUUAGGCGUAAUUUCCAAAUCCCAAUGAAGAUACCUGAAUUACGAGACUUGAAUGUCAAAUAUGGAUAUAAUGCAACAGUACCAGUUCCUGCAGCUUGUGGAACUGUUCCUUCCAUUCUGCUUAAUCACAUUUGGAACCAAGAACAUUCAAAGAAACAGAGUACAUAUGAGAGGCAUUAUGGAAAGGAGUCCUUAGAUUUGGCAAUGCUUUUGAAUUCUCUCAAUGAAAAUGAAAUCAAGAAAUAUCUUGAGAAAGUUCCAGAGGAUGGGGGAAAAUAACUGUUUUAAAGAGGUUUUGUAGGGAGGAUGGAAGCGCCUCAUUCAGAUACUUCCAGUUGGUUCACAUCUCUGAUGUCUCAGAAAGAAAACUUCUUCAGAAUUUCGUUAAUGAAAAUUACAACAGGAGUGGCAACAAGCAUAAAUAAGCUUAGCCAAUGUUUAUGGACAUCAAUCCAGUACUUAAAGAACAAAUUCAUACUUCUGUUAGUAUUGAAAAAUAAUAAGAUAGUUGCUAAUUUAAA